GCCCGGCGUCUGCCGGCUACAAUUCGCGGUAUAAGAUGAGGAAAGUCCGAGCUCCGCAGGGCAGAGGUGCCGGAUAACGUCCGGUGAAGGUGACUUCAAGGAAAGUGCAACAGAAAAUUACCGCCGCUGAAUCAGCGGUAAGGGUGAAAAGGCGAGGUAAGAGCUCACCGGCGCGCCGGUAACGGCGCGCGUCCGUGUAAACCCCACCUGGAGCAAGACCAAGAAAGGGCAUAAAAAGCGGCUGCCCGUCGCUGCCCGGUAGGUAGGUCGCUCGAACGCGCCGGCGACGGCGCGUCUAGAAAGAUGAUUGUUUAAUACAGAACUCGGCUUACAGGUUUGCUCA
rnacentral:RNase_P_RNA from 1 species